AUUCCACCACUCCCUGAUGAGUCACGACAGCGGACGUCGCUCCACUCCCCGUAACUGAUUCCAUGUGGCGAGCCACGGUGAUAGCCACGAUCCCGCUCCACUACCCUCCGCAAUAAAUUUCUCCUGACUCUGGGCGGCCCUCGACCAGACAGUUACAAGCGUCACUGUCAAUCUGUUGCCCCCUCCUCUAUAAAAGGGGAACCCCAGAUACGUUAUUCUAUAAGCCCCAUUUUCUAUCUCAAAACUCUGCUAAAAUUUUUGUUC
rnacentral:lncRNA from 1 species